rnacentral:rRNA from 1 species
UACGAAGGGUGCAAACGUUGCUCGGAAUCAUUGGGCGUAAAGCGCACGUAGGCGGCGCAGUAAGUCGGACGUGAAAUCCCUCGGCUCAACCGAGGACGUGCAUCCGAAACUACUGUGCUCGAGUAUGGAAGAGGGUCGCGGAAUUCUCGGUGUAGAGGUGAAAUUCGUAGAUAUCGGGAGGAACACCAGUGGCGAAGGCGGCGACCUGGGCCAAUACUGGACGCUGAGGUGGCGAAAGCGUGGGAGCAAACAGG